rnacentral:rRNA from 1 species
UACGGAGGGUGCAAGCGUUAUCCGGAUUUACUGGGUUUAAAGGGUGCGUAGGUGGGCAGGUAAGUCAGUGGUGAAAUCUCUGGGCUUAACCCGGAAACUGCCAUGGAUACUAUGUGUCUUGAAUGUUGUUGAGGUGAGCGGAAUAUGUCAUGUAGCGGUGAAAUGCUUAGAUAUGACAUAGAACACCAAUUGCGAAGGCAGCUCACUAAGCAAAUAUUGACGCUGAGGCACGAAAGCGUGGGGAUCAAACAGG